ACUGAGUGCUCUUCCAGGGCUUCUGAUUUAAUUCCCAGCAUCCACAUGGUGGCUCACAACCAUCUGUAAUGGGACCUGAUGCUCUCUUCUGGUGUGUGUACUCAGAUUUAUUUUUUCAAAAAUCUUUAAAAAUAAAAAUUAAAAAAAAAAAAAAAGCAGGCCAUGCAAGCAAGACAAAAUGGUAUCUUUGUGCAGUGUUGAUUAUUGUUGGGCACUUGAGCCAGUGUCUAAAUUUUAAUGGUCUAAAAUUUUUCUCUCCUGAUUUCUCAACAGGAAUCUACUGAAGCUAGGAAGUCUGGGCUCACACUGCUGCUUUGGGUCAGUUGGAGAGUCUUCUGUUUAGAAAUGGAGCUGCUUCUGCUUACAGUUCUGAAUUCUCCAGUUUGGAUUGUGCUUCCUACACUUUCCAUAGGUGUGGUGCUGUGGACCAACAGUGAUGCUGUUGCCUGAGACCUGAGAUGCCCAUCUAUAGGCAGGACACGGGGACCUGAUGAAUUGGAAAGUCCAUUUUUACAAGGCCCUGGGAGACCCAAGGCACAUAGUUGAGGAAACACCGCUAUCUGUUCUAAGGUUACAGCAUGCUGUGAAGAAAAACUCCUAAUGAUGCAAAAGCCGCAGGGAGAAAACCUUAUUUUGUGAUUUACGCUUAUGAGCAGUCACAGCACACGUCAAGAGUAUGCCAUGGGACACACUUCUACUGUAGAGAAUCUGUUAUGUACUGUAUGGAAGCAUCACCUAUCCAUAAGAAGCUGAUGGCCUGCUACCUGAGGCAGGAAGGAAAUAGGUGGAAGCUCUGGUAGGGAAGAUGAGUCUGGGAUAAUCAGGCGAGGGGACAGAAUUGCCCCUGGCCAUGGAAUAGAAUAAACGCGUUGGUUAAGUUACAAUGGAGUCAGAACAAGCCCAAGCUUGUAAUUCAGUCUCAGGUGUCUUUAUUCUGGGAACAAAGAGGCUAGGAGGAAAAGCCUGCAGCUGCAUUGCUAUAGUUUUAUAAUUGCUAUAAUUUUAUAAUUAUAAUUAAGUUGCUUUUCCACCUUUAAGAUAUCAACUUUAGUUGUAUAGUAAAUGUUUAAAUGUUUAAGGUUCAUGUUGUUGUAGACAUGGCUACCCUUGAACUCAGUCGUGUGGCCCAGCCUGAAUCUGGUUUUUGUUUUUCAAAUACAAACUCACAAAGGAAGACUAGUAGAAAAGAAAAUUUCAAUUCAAAGGUUUUUAAUUUCCUUAAAUAUUUCUUAUAUGUACUGUUCCACAUUGUGGAAAUAAACUAAGCAGAACAUU
rnacentral:lncRNA from 1 species